GGGGAUUUAGCUCAGUGAUAGAGCGUUUGCCUAGCAAGCGCAAGGUCCUGGGUUCGGUCCCCAGCUCCG
rnacentral:tRNA from 1 species